UUUCUUUUUUUUUCUGAUUACUUUUUUUAUUUUAUUUUAAUGUAGAUAGCCAACCCAACUGGUUUGGGAUUAAAGCUUAGUUGAUGAUGUUGUUGUGUCUUUGCAAGAUUAUGCUUGUUUGGCCAUUAUUCUUUUGACCCAAAUGAAUAGUCUUUUGCCUAUUUUUUUGGGCUGUGUAUGCCAUGCCUCAGUUUCUAGUAAUUUUGUCGCGUGAAUGGUGAGGCUGGUUUCCAAUUUCAAAAGAUAGAAGCUUUUGGUUGUGUUGAUUUUAAUCCUGAGUGUUCUUAGUAGUUUUGAUGGUUUAUCAAUUCGAAUCAUUUCUGUUGUUGGUCAAAACUAAGCAAAAUAAAAAUAAAAAAUGUUAGCCAUCAACAGUGUUCCUUAAAUUUACAGCCUGGGACAAUGACCUUCAUAUAUUCGAUGUUCUUAUGAUCCUAUCUAAAUGAUGCCUACUGGUGUUCUAUUAAAUGGAAAUUAAUGCGACGGGUUGCUUUCUUCAAUGCAAAGCCAAUUUUGUUGGAUAUCACAUGGUUAAGGAAAUUAUGGGUUCAGCAAAAACAGUGAUGUUUUUGAAAUGUUUAAUUAUUAGUUCUGCAUAUUUUUGCAUUGAUAACAACAACAAUUAAGCCUUAAUCCCAAACUAAUUGGGGUUAGCUAUAUUUUUGCAUGGAAAUAACAUAAAUGGUUCCAACAUGUAUUAUGCUGUCUCAAUUAUUUUCACUCUAUUCCUUCAUCUUUAUAAUCUUCUACAUGUAAACCUAUUAGUUAGCAUCUUAAUUGUUCUUGUCAUUAUUAUUGCUGCUGCAAUGUCGAGGCAUUGUUUGACACUCUUUUUCUUUUCUUACAUAGCAAUACCACCCCUCAAGGGUCCUUUCCCUCGUGCACCAGCCAUUUGCAGUUGUAACACUUGCAGUACUUACAUACGAUGAGGCAAAAAUCAAUACUAGAAAACGGAACCUUUUUGGAGAUAUGCUACUUUCAAUUGGUUAGUUCUGGAUUUGGCUACAUCAGGAAAAGGAGGCCUUGGGACGUUUAUCAGAAUUUGUGCCAUUAGUGGUAUAUUUGGUUUUGCAGGUGCUUUUGUACAAGGUGGAAUGAUUGGAGACCUAUCCUUCUUGCAAGCUGAAUUUCUUCAGUCCUUCCUUGCUGGUUUGGCAACAUCAGGGACUCUAAUCUCUGCUUUGAGGUUAAUCACGAAAGCAGCGUUUGAGAAUUCUAGGUAUGGUCUUCGAAAAGGAGCAAGUAUGUUAAACUGCUUUCUUACUUGUUUCGAUAUAAAGAAAAAGUUAAAAAUGAAACCUCCAUUUCUUUUGCAUGUUUGUUGAGCAUUUGUUUUUAUCCAUGACGAUGUCCCUGGAGGUGAUUGCUAUUAAUGUAUCCGCAAAUGCCAACAGUAUCUUCUUAAGCGCUUUGUAUAGCAACAUGUUUCCUGUUUCACGUUCAAAUUUUGGCUGUGGCUGUGGCUGAUAGGCAAAGGAUGGGGUAUAAGGUUGAUAAAAUUGUUGCCUUAUCUGGUUGUGUAACAAGUCAGAUGCUGAUUGCUAAGCAUCAAAGUGAUAUUUCUGCAAGAAAGUCUAUUUCCCCAAGGACAAGCACUUCCUCUUGGCAAGUUUGGACCUUACCAAAAGAGUAAUUCCUGCUUCUCUUAUGUUGAUAGUUGAAAGCUCCUCCAAAAAGCUAGGGCAGAUGAGGGAUUACAGACAAUUGCUACUCCUUCUAUAUGUUAUUCUUUUGUCAUCUUUCAAAAUCACUUUUAUAGUUUCGUUUAUUUCACGAAAAUUAAUUUAUAUAUAAAAUAUUAUAUUUAGAUUAUAAA